CUACGGGGUGCUCCAGUGGGGAAUAUUGCACAAUGGACGAAAGUCUGAUGCAGCAACGCCGCGUGGAGGAUGACACAUUUCGGUGCAUAAACUCCUUUUAUAUAGGAAGAUAAUGACGGUACUAUAUGAAUAAGCACCGGCUAACUCCGUGCCAGCAGCCGCGGUAAUACGGAGGGUGCAAGCGUUACUCGGAAUUACUGGGCGUAAAGAGCGUGUAGGCGGGUUUGUAAGUUGGAUGUGAAAUCCUAUGGCUCAACCAUAGAACUGCAUCCAAAACUGCUUACCUAGAAUAUGGGAGAGGUAGAUGGAAUUUCUCGUGUAGGGGUAAAAUCCGUAGAGAUCAGAAGGAAUACCGAUUGCGAAGGCGAUCUACUGGAACAUUAUUGACGCUGAGACGCGAAAGCGUGGGGAGCAAACAGGAUUAGAUACCCCAGUAGUC
rnacentral:rRNA from 1 species